GGCUAACGGCCGAAGGAGUGGUGAGGGCAGCUCCUCUCAAAAAGGAGAACGGGAGAGUGUGAAGUGUCGCGUUCAUCGAUUUUCCUCUUAAGAGUGAGGAAUCAGUCAGUAACGAUGGACUCCCAGAAAACAGCUUUAGUGACAUCUUUUGAAAUAGCAAAGGAAGAGCAAGAUGAACGUGCCUUUCAGGAAGAGGAAAACAAUGAUCCCAGUGGCUCUGAGGACGAUGUCGGGGAAGCUGAUAUUAGCAAGAUUGUUUGUGCAAA